CACACAACUGGGGUACUGAAAGUGACCCUGAAUUCAAAGGAUAUCAUAAUGGGAACUCAGAUCCUCGAGGCUUUGGGCACAUUGGCAUAACUGUUGAUGACACAAUUAAGGCAUGUGAAAGAUUUGAACGCCUAGGUGUGGAAUUUGUUAAAAAACCAGAUGACGGCAAGAUGAAAGGAAUUGCAUUUAUCAAGGAUCCUGAUGGCUACUGGAUUGAAAUCUUCGACCUCAAAACUAUUGGAAAACUUACUUCUGACGCUGCUUGAGAUCAUAUGGACCAAUUUCUGGGACCAUUCUCUUCCUUAUAAUAAGAUCUACAGUUGAAGCGUCUGGUUUUUGAUGAAUCUCGCUCGAGUGAACGUUGUUCCCAAUUUAGAAAGAGUAUUUUGGGAGACCCUUUGCUCUAUUCUGUCCAAG
rnacentral:misc_RNA from 1 species